rnacentral:rRNA from 1 species
UGAACGCUGGCGGCAGGCCUAACACAUGCAAGUCGAACGGUAACAGGAAGCAGCUUGCUGCUUUGCUGACGAGUGGCGGACGGGUGAGUAAUGUCUGGGAAACUGCCUGAUGGAGGGGGAUAACUACUGGAAACGGUAGCUAAUACCGCAUAACGUCGCAAGACCAAAGAGGGGGACCUUCGGGCCUCUUGCCAUCGGAUGUGCCCAGAUGGGAUUAGCUAGUAGGUGGGGUAACGGCUCACCUAGGCGACGAUCCCUAGCUGGUCUGAGAGGAUGACCAGCCACACUGGAACUGAGACACGGUCCAGACUCCUACGGGAGGCAGCAGUGGGGAAUAUUGCACAAUGGGCGCAAGCCUGAUGCAGCCAUGCCGCGUGUAUGAAGAAGGCCUUCGGGUUGUAAAGUACUUUCAGCGGGGAGGAAGGCGAUAAGGUUAAUAACCUUGUCGAUUGACGUUACCCGCAGAAGAAG